CAUGAUACAGCCAGAGGCUGACUGGACAAUCCUGCUCUCUCCUCCCUCCUGCCAACCCUGUGCCCUUCCUUGGUCUUGGACAGGAAAUGCAGAAUGAGACAAGCCAUUCGUUGCCAUUCAUCCAUCCUACAGAAUCAGAGCCCCAGCCCCAGGGCCACUGGCUACGAAUACCCCUUGCAGAACAAGAUGGGUUCAUCAGCACAGCCGGCAGCAGCUGACCACCAAACUUCAAAGGAAAUAUUCUCCAAUCGCUCCUUCCAGAUCCAUCUGGCAGCCUGAGCCUGGCCUCAGCUCAAGUCCAUGAUAAAUGUUCCUUUAAUGCAGA
rnacentral:lncRNA from 1 species